CAAGUCGAACGGUAGCACAGAGGAGCUUGCUCUUUGGGUGACGAGUGGCGGACGGGUGAGUAAUGUCUGGGAAACUGCCCGAUGGAGGGGGAUAACUACUGGAAACGGUAGCUAAUACCGCAUAACGUCGCAAGACCAAAGAGGGGGACCUUCGGGCCUCUUGCCAUCGGAUGUGCCCAGAUGGGAUUAGCUAGUAGGUGGGGUAACGGCUCACCUAGGCGACGAUCCCUAGCUGGUCUGAGAGGAUGACCAGCCACACUGGAACUGAGACACGGUCCAGACUCCUACGGGAGGCAGCAGUGGGGAAUAUUGCACAAUGGGCGCAAGCCUGAUGCAGCCAUGCCGCGUGUAUGAAGAAGGCCUUCGGGUUGUAAAGUACUUUCAGCGAGGAGGAAGGCGUUGUGGUUAAUAACCGCAACGAUUGACGUUACUCGCAGAAGAAGCACCGGCUAACUCCGUGCCAGCAGCCGCGGUAAUACGGAGGGUUGCAAGCGUUAAUCGGAAUUACUGGGCGUAAAGCGCACGCAGGCGGUCUGUCAAGUCGGAUGUGAAAUCCCCGGGCUCAACCUGGGAACUGCAUCCGAAACUGGCAGGCUAGAGUCUUGUAGAGGGGGGUAGAUUCCAGGUGUAGCGGUGAAAUGCGUAGAGAUCUGGAGGA
rnacentral:rRNA from 1 species